GGCUGUCUGGCUCAGUGGGAAGAGCAUGGGACUUUUGAUCUCAGGGUCAUGAGUUCAAGCCCCAUGUUGGGUG
rnacentral:tRNA from 1 species